rnacentral:rRNA from 1 species
UACGUAGGUGGCAAGCGUUGUUCGGAAUUAUUGGGCGUAAAGGGCGCGUAGGCGGCUUGUUAAGUCGGCUGUGAAAGCCCGGGGCUCAACCCCGGAGAGUCGGCCGAUACUGGCGAGCUAGAGUACGGAAGAGGUAGCUGGAAUUCCCGGUGUAGCGGUGAAAUGCUUAGAUAUGACAUAGAACACCAAUUGCGAAGGCAGCUGGCUACACGAAUAUUGACACUGAGGCACGAAAGCGUGGGGAUCAAACAGG